rnacentral:rRNA from 1 species
GACGAACGCUGGCGGCGUGCUUAACACAUGCAAGUCGAACGGUGAACCUCUUCGGAGGGGAUCAGUGGCGCACGGGUGAGUAACACGUGGGCAACCUGCCCCCGGCUCUGGGAUAACUCCAAGAAAUUGGGGCUAAUACCGGAUGUUCACCGCUUCCCGCAUGGGAGGUGGUGUAAAGGGUUUCCGGCUGGGGAUGGGCCCGCGGCCUAUCAGCUGGUUGGUGGGGUAGUGGCCUACCAAGGCGACGACGGGUAGCCGGCCUGAGAGGGUGACCGGCCACACUGGGACUGAGAGACGGCCCAGACUCCUAUGGGAGGCAGCAGUGGGGAAUAUUGCGCAAUGGGCGGAAGCCUGACGCAGAGACGCCGCGUGGGGGAUGACGGCCUUCGGGUUGUAAACCUCUUUCAGCAGGGACGAAGCGUAAGUGACGGUACCUGCAGAAGAAGCACCGGCCAACUACGUG